CAAGCCUGCAAGAGGAGAACAGCCCUGUGCUACAAAUUCUGUUAGCCAUUGGGAAUGCAUCGAUGUGAUGGCCAAUUGUAAUCCACACUGUGCUAAUCUGAGUCAGAAAUGUCAUUAAACAGACUUGAAUCUUGAACCAGACGAUCCAAAGGUGCAGAAUUUCUGCCUGUGGCAAUAGCAGAGGCAUAAGCAAAUCCAUUGGUGACUGAGCUCAGUGAUAAGGAACAAGUACAAGCCUGAGGGAGGAUCGCAUCCGUAUGCAUUCUCUAUCAAGGGAUUUGCAGUUUUGGUAAAUCCAGGCCAGAACAGUGGAGAAGAGUGAUACCUUAGCUUUCCUACGCAUAUUGCAUGUUGAAAAAAAACAGUGAGUCUUCCCACUGUGCACUGCAGAAAACUGUGGCUGAUUCUCUUUCCUCAAAUGUGCUAGCUACUGAGCUCUGCUUACCUCUCGACCUGCACCCCAACAGUACAGAUUUCCAAAGGGCUGAAGAAGAAAGAUAAUAAAAACAGAAACAAUAUAUACAGGUUGAAGUUAAAUAUCAAACGCGGGUCUGGUGUAAAAUAAAUGCAGUUCUGACAAAAGUAUCUCAAGUAUCAUACAUCAAACACUUGUUACCUCGACUGGCCUUUGUGAUUCCACAUGACUCGGAACAAGUCAGUGAUAAAAUGUGAAGAGAGAUGAAACCAAUCCAGCCCUUUUUAAAGAUCAUCAAUCACUCGACGCAACCAUGAUAUUAUUAGUUCAAGUAAAGCCCCGCUCUUCCAUUUUAUGGACAUCAUAAAAAGCCCAGCUCUUCAGCUACCAUGGGAAUUCAUUUUUAUGAGAAACAUCUUAGAAAGAACCAAUCAGGUCUGGGGCAUAACAAGCUACUGAAUAAUUCAGAAUCCUUCACCAUCCUGUAUUUUCAGCACAUCCAGUGAGGCAACAUUUAAUUAGUAUACGUUUGUGUUUU